AACGUAGGACGCAAGCGUUAUCCGGAAUUACUGGGCGUAAAGCGCGCGCAGGCGGUUCUUCAAGUCAGAGGUGAAAGCCCAGAGCUCAACUCUGGAAUGGCCUUUGAGACUAGAGAACUAGGGUACGGGAGAGGUGAGUGGAAUUCCGAGUGUAGAGGUGAAAUUCGUAGAUAUUCGGAAGAACACCAGUGGCGAAGGCGGCUCACUGGCCCGGUACUGACGCUGAGAUACGAAAGCGUGGGGAGCAAACAGG
rnacentral:rRNA from 1 species